AAUAAAGUGCCUGAAAAAGGAUUAUUCUGAUAGGAUAAAUCAUGUAAUUAAUUUACCUUUAUUA
rnacentral:tRNA from 1 species